CGGACGGGUGAGUAACACGUGGAUAACCUACCUAUAAGACUGGGAUAACUUCGGGAAACCGGAGCUAAUACCGGAUAAUAUAUUGAACCGCAUGGUUCAAUAGUGAAAGACGGUUUUGCUGUCACUUAUAGAUGGAUCCGCGCCGCAUUAGCUAGUUGGUAAGGUAACGGCUUACCAAGGCAACGAUGCGUAGCCGACCUGAGAGGGUGAUCGCCACACUGGAACUGAGACACGGUCCAG
rnacentral:rRNA from 1 species